CAGUCGCCGCGGUAAUACGUAGGGUGCAAGCGUUAAUCGGAAUUACUGGGCGUAAAGCGUGCGCAGGCGGUUCUAUAAGACAGAUGUGAAAUCCCCGGGCUCAACCUGGGAACUGCAUUUGUGACUGUAGAGCUGGAGUACGGCAGAGGGGGAUGGAAUUCCGCGUGUAGCAGUGAAAUGCGUAGAUAUGCGGAGGAACACCGAUGGCGAAGGCAAUCCCCUGGGCCUGUACUGACGCUCAUGCACGAAAGCGUGGGGAGCAAACAGGAUUAGAUACCCCUGUAGUCCCUGUCUCUUAUAA
rnacentral:rRNA from 1 species